rnacentral:rRNA from 1 species
UGCGCAGGCGGAAUAAUUAGUCAGUGGUGAAAUCUCCCGGCUCAACCGGGAAACUGCCAUUGAUACUGUUAUUCUUGAGUAUAGUUGUAGUGGGCGGAAUAUAGCAUGUAGCGGUGAAAUGCUUAGAUAUGCUAUAGAGCACCGAUCGCGAAGGCAGCUCACUAAACUAUAACUGACGCUCAGGCACGAAAGCGUGGGGAGCAAACAGGAUUAGAUACCCUGGUAGUC